rnacentral:rRNA from 1 species
GGAUUAGAUACCCUGGUAGUCCACGCCGUAAACGUUGGAUGCUAGGUGUGGCGGUCUAUCAACGUCUGCCGUGCCGAAGCUAACGCAUUAAGCAUCCCGCCUGGGGAGUACGGCCGCAAGGCUAAAACUCAAAGGAAUUGACGGGUCCCCGCACAAGCGGCGGAGCAUGCGGCUUAAUUCGAUGCAACCCGAAGAACCUUACCUGGGUUUGACAUCACGGGAAAAGCUGUAGAAAUACAGUGUCCAUUAGGGCCCGUGACAGGUGGUGCAUGGCUGUCGUCAGCUCGUGCCG